GGAUGAGCCCGCGGCCUAUCAGCUUGUUGGUGGGGUAAUGGCCUACCAAGGCGGCGACGGGUAGCCGGCCUGAGAGGGUGUACGGCCACAUUGGGACUGAGAUACGGCCCAGACUCCUACGGGAGGCAGCAGUGGGGAAUAUUGCACAAUGGGCGCAAGCCUGAUGCAGCGACGCCGCGUGGGGGAUGAAGGCCUUCGGGUUGUAAACUCCUUUCGCUAGGGACGAAGCUUUGUUGUGACGGUACCUAGAUAAGAAGCACCGGCUAACUACGUGCCAGCAGCCGCGGUAAUACGUAGGGUGCGAGC
rnacentral:rRNA from 1 species